AUCGCGACUCUAAAUUUUCCACUAGUUAUCUGGUUUUUCAAAACUCCAAAAUUACGGUAACCUGUGCUUUGCCUUGAGGGUAAUAAAUAUGAAAUUGAAACAACCGUGCUCGUUACAAGUGUAGUGUUAGAGUGCAAAACUUUUAACUGUGUUCCCAUACAACAUUGGGCGUAAAAUUUGAAAACUUCUUAAUACAAGGCGACCCGCGGCAGAAACCAGUAGCAACAUGCCAGAAUUCGUUUCUAUGCGGUACUUUAACCACCGUGUUCUCCGGCUUCCGAGGGAUACUAACCAACGGCUCGUAGCAAUUUUAGGGAUGCUAUGUGAGGGUCUUUAUCCCCCUUUGGUGGCCCUGGAUCUUAUGGACGAGAUGGAGAAAAUAGUCGGUCUCCCGGCUGUUUUCGGUGACAUCUAUUCUUAUCUCGAGCGUAUCCACGAGUUACGGGUGCACCAGUAUUCUCGAGCUAGGAUCACGCUCGAAGAGUAUAACCGGCCCUGUUAUUAUCCGGGUGACCUAGGUCCCAUCGAGGAUAUACUCCACGUCAUCCAAAAUCUCUUGGGCUCCUUCUUCUCACGUCACGUAUAGUGCAUAAGAUGCUAUCGCGAAAAUAAUUUAAAAUUUCUAAGAUCAUAUAAUAUCCCAGUACUAAUACACACUCAUCAGAUUAAUUUGUAUUUCAAAAAAUUUCAUUUCAAUCGUUUUAUUUUGAAUAUUAUUUUUAGGGAGUUCACAGUUUCUUUUCCAGUUACCAAAUUUUCUAACAUAAAAUUUUAUCAGUCUGUAGACUUCUAAUUACAAUGAGAAUUUUUUUCAA